CGUUUCCAAUACAGCCUGUGAAACUGUGUCCUGAGGGAGAAGCUGGUGCCCUUUAUCACACAGCUAACAACGCUCCUGGCCCAUGGAUCAGAGAAGUUGAAGGAAAAUACAGAGGAAGUUCUAACAGUGGCAGACCUAAUUACUGCACCAUGCCAAGCAGGUAAUCCAGCAGGAGUGGUGACAGUUUGAGACAAGGACAAGAGCACCAGACUUCAGAACUUGACAUCCACAAAAUGUAAAUAAGAUGAAAGUUCAGCUCUGUCAUUUGACAUAUGAGUUCCGCCCUCUGCCCCUACUCCUAGCAACUCUCUGAGCCUCAGCUCUGCCUUCAGUAAGUCGUUCCUUUCCAUAAUAGGACAGUGGGAAGAUUUUUUGCUCAUAAAGAACAUGACUAUAGCUAUUGAUUUCUGGGAAAUGUUAAAACAACAAGGUUUUCAAUUCCUUUGUUGACAAGUGAAAAUAUUUUCUUUGUUAACUAAUGUUUCAGAACUGGGCUUUCUAUAUUGAAGAAAAAUUAAUGAAGAAAAAUAAAUCAAUUUUACAAAAUGUCCCUGAAAAAUUCUACCCCAAACUGUCCUGAGAUUUGCUAGUCAGCAAGCUUAACAUACAAUUUGAAAAAGAAAUAUGAGGUUGAAUCCCCAAGACAGUAAAAGAGUAGACAUCACGGGAGGACAUUAUUC
rnacentral:lncRNA from 1 species